UACAUGGAGAGUUUGAUCCUGGCUCAGAGCGAACGUUAGCGGCGGGCCUAACACAUGCAAGUCGAGCGAGAAAAGGGCUUCGGCCCUGAGUAAAGCGGCGGACGGGUGAAU
rnacentral:rRNA from 1 species